rnacentral:rRNA from 1 species
GGGGCCCGCACAAGCAGCGGAGCAUGUGGUUUAAUUCGAAGCAACGCGAAGAACCUUACCUAGACUUGACAUCCCCUGCAUAACCCAGAGAUGGGCGAAGUCCUUCGGGACAGGGUGACAGGUGGUGCAUGGUUGUCGUCAGCUCGUGUCGUGAGAUGUUGGGUUAAGUCCCGCAACGAGCGCAACCCUUAUCAUUAGUUGCUACCAUUUAGUUGAGCACUCUAGUGAGACUGCCCGGGUUAACCGGGAGGAAGGUGGGGAUGACGUCAAAUCAUCAUGCCCCUUAUGUCUAGGGCUACACACGUGCUACAAUGGUGAGUACAAAGAGAUGCAAGAUCGCAAGGUGGAGCCAAACUCAAAAACUCAUCCCAGUUCGGAUUGUAGGCUGCAACUCGCCUACAUGAAGCCGGAGUUGCUAGUAAUCGCGAAUCAGCAUGUCGCGGUGAAUACGUUCCCGGGCCUUGUACACACCGCCCGUCACACCAUGAGAGUUGGUAACACCCGAAGUCCGUGAGGUAACCGUAAGGAGCCAGCGGCCGAAGGUGGGAUCGAUGAUUGGGGUGAAGUCGUAACAAGGUAACCGUAAGGGC